UGAAAUAGUAGGACGUCGGGGACGCUUGUGAGUGGAAAGUCUCCUUGUCAGAGCAGAUGCAAUGGAGAGGGGGGAAUUGGGAGAAUGGGAUGCAGUCUUUGCAGGUUACAGAGUGGGAGGAGGUGUACUCCCAGGUAGCAUGGGAAUCUGUGGGUUUAUAUUAAAGGUAGGUCUAUAAACUGUCGCUGGAGAUGGAAAUGGAAGGUCAAGACAGGGGAGGGAAGUGUCCAAGAUAGACCAAGUGAAUUUGAGGUUGGGGUGGACGUUGUUAGCGAAUUCGAUGAACACCUCCAGUUCAGCCUGGGUUCAGGAUGCAGUACCGAUACAGUCAUAAUUUAAUGGCGGAAGAGUUGGGUACUGAACGUAUACGUACUGAAGAGGGGCUGUUCGAUAUAACCGACAAAAAAGCAGGCGUAGCUAGGGCCCAUGUGAGUGCCCAUGGCUACCCCCUGAAUUUGCAGAAAGUGGGAAAAAUUGAAGAAAAAGUUAUUGCGGUGAGGACUAAUUUGACGAGGUGGUGUGUGGGGGUGGGUAAAGGACAUAGGUGUUCAGGUUCUAAAAUUAUUGAACUUGAUAUUGAUUCCUGAACUUGAUAUUGAUUCCUGAGGCUGCAGAAUCCCCAAGUGAGAUGCUAUUCUUUCUGGUUGCGCUGAACUUCACUGGAGAUUCCCCGCUUGCUGAGGCAGGCCCGAGACAGCAAUAUUGGCCAAGGGUCAUGGUGGUAUGUUAAAGUUGCAAGUAACUACAAGCUUGUGGUCAUCUUUAAAGAGAGAAUAUAUGGUUCCGUGAAGUGGUUACCCAGUCUGUGUUUCAUCUCCCCAGUAUGGUGGACACCACAUUGUGAGCAUCAAAUACAGUAGGCUAGAUUGAGUGAAGUGCAGGUAAAUCGCUACUUCAUCUGCAAGGUGUGUCUGUGGGGAGGGAGGAGGUAAACAGGCAGAUACCAUGCCUUCUAUUAUUGCAUGAGGUGGUGUUGUGGGUUGUGAGGAGGUGUUGGGAGUGGAGAGGGCUUGGACCAGGCUGUCCUGGGAGGAAUGGUGCCUGUGGAAUGCUGACAAGGGAGGGGAAAGGUCUGGUGGUGGCAAACGUGGCAGCUUGUGAUCCUUUGGGUGCGUCUUUGAGGAUUUUAAAAGAGUGAAGGCAAAAGUGCAGGAAAUGUGUUGGACAUGACUAAGGGCUAUGAAAACUAUGGUGAUAGGGAAUCCUCGGUUGAAUGAAAGAAAGAGGACAUUUCUGAGGACCUCCUGUGGAAGGUGGCACCAUCUGAACAGGUGCAACAGAUGGACAAACUGGGAGAAUGGAAUGGUGUCUUUACAGGCAACAUGGUGUGAGGAUAUAUAGUCCAGAUUUAGGCUUUUCAGAUCCACGGGAAUUUUCAUGGAGUCAAGGCUGGCUUUUUAAGGUACUAUGGUUCACACCAGUUUCGAGGUAUUUUGAACCAAAGAGAAUCCCUGAUUUAGAGGCAGGAGGUGAUUGACAGGUCUCUGAGGGAAGAGUGACCAUAAUAUGAUAAAAUACUUCGUUGGAUGAACAAGGGUCUUAAUUCUAAACAAAGGACAUUAUGAAGGGAUCAAAAUACAAAAAAGGAUUCCGAGAAUCAAUUGAUGAUGUUCUGGAUGACCUCCUUGGAAAAGAUGGUAGGGUGCAAUUACUUUCUCUUUUGA